UAAAAGGCUAGGAAAAUCUCAAUAUGCUGAUGCUCCCUAGUUUACUGGGUAGAGGGCAGAGCUGUGUUUGUCACAGAAAAUAAAUCAUCAUGUCACAGUGAGAGAAGAAUGGUCAGAGACCUGAAGGUAAUCUGAAAAUGAAUGUGAAUAAAGACAGAAGGAGGGCAAGCUCUUCAACAUCAGGUCUGGGAUACUUCCUUCUUGAACUCAGUAAAGGACAUGAUGAUCCAUCAUUGCUCAAGCAAGAAACCUUAGUAUCCUCUGGAAACUCCCUCUCCAAAGAACUAAGAA